GGCGCUUCACACCCACCUAGAGGAGCCUGUUCUAGAACCGAUGACCCCCGUUCAACCUCACCUUCUCUUGUCCCCCCCAGCCUAUAUACCGCCGUCGUCAGCCCACCCUGUGAAGGCCCAGCAGUGAGCAGAACUGGUACAGCCCAAAACGUCAGGCCGAGGUGUAGCGUAUGAGAAGGGAAGAAAUGGGCUACAAUUGCCAAAACAGCUAACACGAACUGUUGCGCUGAAACUGCAAGCACGAAGGAGGAUUUAGAAGUAAGGAGGAAAGCAGAGUGUCCUCCUGAAAUGGUUCUGAAGCGUGCACACACCGCCCGUCACUCUCCCCGAAAACCCCUUAUUCAAACCUUAACUAAACACUUCACCGUAUAGAGGGGAGGCAAGUCGUAACAUGGUAAGUGUACCGGAAGGUGCACUUGGAAGAAAA
rnacentral:rRNA from 1 species